UACGUAGGGGGCAAGCGUUAUCCGGAUUUGCUGGGUGUAAAGGGAGCGUAGACGGCAAUGCAAGUCUGGAGUGAAAGGCGGGGGCCCAACCCCCGGACUGCUCUGGAAACUGUAUAGCUGGAGUGCAGGAGAGGUAAGUGGAAUUCCUAGUGUAGCGGUGAAAUGCGUAGAUAUUAGGAGGAACACCAGUGGCGAAGGCGGCUUACUGGACUGUAACUGACGUUGAGGCUCGAAAGCGUGGGGAGCAAACAGG
rnacentral:rRNA from 1 species